rnacentral:rRNA from 1 species
AUGCGGCAAUCACGAAUUCUCCGCUAUGGCAUUCUGUACAAAAAUUGUCGCUUUUCUAUUAACAUGCGCUUGGGUGUGCAUGGUGCGGAUACCCAGGCGCAGAAGGAUGUUGCCUUAUUUAGCAGAUGGGUGCUAGAUCUUGGGGAAGGGAAGUUGCCUGUCACAAGGCGAGGCGAUGAGGUUGAGGCUUCUUGGAUACAGAUACCGGACGACCUCUUGGUUUGUACGUCUGGUGAUCCAAUAGCUGCUAUUGUUUCUUCUGUCUAUGGUGAUUUUUUGCAUAACUACUUGCAAGAGAGAGCCAUUUUAGCCCCUACCAAUGACCAUGCUGAGGAUAUUAAUGAUCAUAUUCUUGCAUUGGUUCCUACUGAUAGCAGAGACUAUUUGAGUGAUGAUUCUAUUGACGAUUCUUCAGAUUCUGUUAGGGACAAAGAUGUUUACUAUCCAGUCGAGUACCUGAAUGCAACUAAAAUUAUAAAUUUCCCAAAUCAUAGGCUGACUCUUAAGGUUGGUGUUCCGAUUAUGCUUCUUAGAAACCUGAGCCAAGCAAAUGGUUUGUGUAAUGGUACACGACUAAUUGUAAAAGAAUUAGGUGAUCGGCUUAUCGAAGCUGUCAUUAUGACCGGCUCACAUGUGGGUGAUACUGUUUAUACCCCCAGGAUUGAAUUAUUGGCAAAGAAGGGAAAUGCACCCUUUGUGCUUAGACGUCGCCAGUUUCCUGUUCGUGUGUGCUAUGCCAUGACAAUUAAUAAGAGCCAGGGACAAACCCUGUCUGCUGUUGGUAUAUAUCUUAAAAGUCCUGUUUUUUCUCACGGGCAGCUAUAUGUGGCAGUGUCUCGUGUUACGUCGAGGGCUUCCUUGAAAAUAGUUAUAUUAGAU